CGGAUCGUAAAGCUCUGUUGUUAGGAAAAGAACAAGUACCGUUCGAAUAGGGCGGUACCUUGACGGUACCUAACCAGAAAGCCACGGCUAACUACGUGCCAGCAGCCGCGGUAAUACGUAGGUGGCAAGCGUUGUCCGGAAUUAUUGGGCGUAAAGGGCUCGCAGGCGGUUUCUUAAGUCUGAUGUGAAAGCCCCCGGCUCAACCGGGGAGGGUCAUUGGAAACUGGGGAACUUGAGUGCAGAAGAGGAGAGUGGAAUUCCACGUGUAGCGGUGAAAUGCGUAGAGAUGUGGAGGAACACCAGUGGCGAAGGCGACUCUCUGGUCUGUAACUGACGCUGAGGAGCGAAAGCGUGGGGAGCGAACAGGAUUAAAUACCCUGGUAGUCCACGCCGUAAACGAUGAGUGCUAAGUGUUAGGGGGUUUCCGCCCCUUAGUGCUGCAGCUAACGCAUUAAGCACUCCGCCUGGGGAGUACGGUCGCAAGACUGAAACUCAAAGGAAUUGACGGGGGCCCGCACAAGCGGUGGAGCAUGUGGUUUAAUUCGAAGCAACGCGAAGAACCUUACCAGGUCUUGACAUCCUCUGACAAUCCUAGAGAUAGGACGUCCCCUUCGGGGGCAGAGUGACAGGUGGUGCAUGGUUGUCGUCAGCUCGUGUCGUGAGAUGUUGGGUUAAGUCCCGCAACGAGCGCAACCCUUGAUUUUAGUUGCCAGCAUUCAGUUGGGCACUCUAAGGUGACUGCCGGUGACAAACCGGAGGAAGGUGGGGAUGACGUCAAAUCAUCAUGCCCCUUAUGACCUGGGCUACACACGUGCUACAAUGGACAGAACAAAGGGCAGCGAAACCGCGAGGUUAAGCCAAUCCCACAAAUCUGUUCUCAGUUCGGAUCGCAGUCUGCAACUCGACUGCGUGAAGCUGGAAUCGCU
rnacentral:rRNA from 1 species